UUCUUCCAUGCAAUGUCAAACCCUGUAAUAAACAAACUCAGUUCUUCAGUGUGUCACUUUGUGCUUUCUGUCUGUUUCACAGCCGAAUAAACAAAAAAAAAAAAAAAAACAAAUUGUCUUUGGUCUUUUUAUUGCGUUUUUGGGUUUUAAUUUCAAUCAAAACUUGGUUCAUUUUGGUUUCAAAAAUGUCUUAUAAUCUUUCAUCAAUUUCUGAUUACUCUUGCUUCAACUAUAAAAUUCCAGAAAUGGUUUCCACUGAAACAAUCGAUUAUAACAUAUUGUCUGAUCUUCCCAGUUAUGAUCUUCAAGCUCUGUUGAACAACAAGGGAAACGAACAAAACCGAAACCAGCUUGAAAAUCUCUGUCUUUAUCGAACAACCCAGUUUCAAUCUCUGUCUUCUAGUCGAAAUCCAGACAAAGGGUAUGAAAAUUUCGAUUUUGCUUACAACGAUGAAAAUGUGGCAAAGUUCUUACAAAGAAGCUGCUUUAAUGGCCAUUCUUUUCGAAAUUUUCAAGGUCCUGACAACAGCUUUUUUGAGAGCUCGUUAAUGGAAGAACCAGUCUUUAAAAUAGGACGUUACAACCCAGAAGAGAGACAAGAGAGGAUUUCAAAGUAUAGAGCUAAACGUAAUCAAAGGAACUUCAAUAAAACAAUUAAGGUUUGUAAUUAUCUUUUUUUGUCUUUUUGUUUGAUUUUGAUUAUGUUCUGAACUUCUAAAAACAUGUUUUUUUUUUAAUGGUGAUUGAAAAGUAUGCUUGCCGAAAAACACUAGCCGACAACCGUCCUCGUAUACGUGGCCGAUUUGCACGUAACGAUGAAACUGUCGAGAUUCAGAAAGCUCCAUGUUCAACCAGACAUGAAGACGAAUUUGAAUUAUGGGCGUUGCAUGAGGUGGAAGAUGAAACAAUGGCCAAAGGGACAUUUAUGAACAGUUUCAGUUUACAUCAGUUUCAAUACAGCCGCCAUGGCCGCUUCUGAAGCUUUUCUUUUAGUUAUGGCAGUCUCAUAGAGCCCAAAAAACAGGGGAAAAUUGUAAUUAUAAUAAGUACUGAUAAUAAAAAAGGGUCAAAUUUUAAUGUCGUUGUAAUAAAAAAAAUUAAUAAUAAAAAAUAAGGUGAUCAAUGAUAAAUAUUUGA